AUUGAACGCUGGCGGCAGGCCUAACACAUGCAAGUCGAACGGUAACAGGAAGCAGCUUGCUGCUUUGCUGACGAGUGGCGGACGGGUGAGUAAUGUCUGGGAAACUGCCCGAUGGAGGGGGAUAACUACUGGAAACGGUAGCUAAUACCACAUAACGUCGCAAGACCAAAGAGGGGGACCUUAGGGCCUCUUGCCAUCGGAUGUGCCCAGAUGGGAUUAGCUAGUAGGUGGGGUAACGGCUCACCUAUGCGACGAUCCCUAGCUGGUCUGAGGGGAUGACCAGCCACACUGAAGCUGAGACACGGUCCAGACUCCUACGGGAGGCAGCAGUGGGGAAUAUUGCACAAUGGGCGCAAGCCUGAUGCAGCCAUGCCGCGUGUAUGAAGAAGGCCUUCGGGUUGUAAAGUACUUUCAGCGGGGAGGAAGGGAGUAAAGUUAAUACCUUUGCUCAUUGACGUUACCCGCAGAAGAAGCACCGGCUAACUCCGU
rnacentral:rRNA from 1 species